GAUGAACGCUGGCGGCGUGCCUAAUACAUGCAAGUCGAGCGAACGGACGAGAAGCUUGCUUCUCUGAUGUUAGCGGCGGACGGGUGAGUAACACGUGGAUAACCUACCUAUAAGACUGGGAUAACUUCGUGAAACCGGAGCUAAUACCGGAUAAUAUUUUGAACCGCAUGGUUCAAAAGUAAAAGACGGUCUUGCUGUCACUUAUAGAUGGAUCCGCGCUGCAUUAGCUAGUUGGUAAGGUAACGGCUUACCAAGGCAACGAUGCAUAGCCGACCUGAGAGGGUGAUCGGCCACACUGGAACUGAGACACGGUCCAGACUCCUACGGGAGGCAGCAGUAGGGAAUCUUCCGCAAUGGGCGAAAGCCUGACGGAGCAACGCCGCGUGAGUGAUGAAGGUCUUCGGAUCGUAAAACUCUGUUAUUAGGGAAGAACAUAUGUGUAAGUAACUGUGCACAUCUUGACGGUACCUAAUCAGAAAGCCACGGCUAACUACGUG
rnacentral:rRNA from 1 species